UGGCUUCAUUCGCACUGCUCUCUAAGUCUUCUUCUCUAAGGAUGAUUAGUUACCUCUAAUCUCUCCAUCUUCUAUCCCUUCUGAUUGAGAACUUCAUUAUUUUCAUGAUUCAACUUGAUUUUCUUCUAUUAGUAUAUAUCAGCAAGUCAAAUAAAUGGAUUAGUCGAUCGUAUAUCGUAUGUAUAUCAAUGGACUAUAUAUAUGA
rnacentral:lncRNA from 1 species